rnacentral:rRNA from 1 species
GACGAACGCUGGCGGCGUGCUUAACACAUGCAAGUCGAACGGAAAGGCCCUGCUUUUGUGGGGUGCUCGAGUGGCGAACGGGUGAGUAACACGUGAGUAACCUGCCCUUGACUUUGGGAUAACUUCAGGAAACUGGGGCUAAUACCGGAUAGGAGCUCCUGCUGCAUGGUGGGGGUUGGAAAGUGUCGGCGGUUGGGGAUGGACUCGCGGCUUAUCAGCUUGUUGGUGGGGUAGUGGCUUACCAAGGCUUUGACGGGUAGCCGGCCUGAGAGGGUGACCGGCCACAUUGGGACUGAGAUACGGCCCAGACUCCUACGGGAGGCAGCAGUGGGGAAUAUUGCACAAUGGGCGGAAGCCUGAUGCAGCAACGCCGCGUGCGGGAUGACGGCCUUCGGGUUGUAAACCGCUUUCGCCUGUGACGAAGCGUGAGUGACGAUAAUGGGUAAAGAAGCACCGGCUAACUACGUG